AUGGUGGGUUCCUGUUGUGUAUAGUACAGCUUGGUCUGAGGAUGUAAAGAGUGGCCUUAUACACUUAUGCUAUGGUCUCAUUUUACAUUUAUUGAUUUUAAAUAGUACAAUAAAUAUACUACAAAAACAUUGUCUUUGGUAGAGUUACAAGUUCAUCAUUUUCUCUGCACUUCACAAUUUUGGACAUGAUCCUUUGGUUUAUCGGUAGCAAUGGAAAAGCCGCUAUAUCCUGAUUAGAAAACAUGAACAUGAGAUCAUGUCAUGGCACAAUAUAACAAGAGAAAAAAACUUUACAGUUUCAUGCAUACAGAUAGGGUUUAAUGCUUCAAAAGACAUACAAGAGUGGAUGGCCACAGUAAACUUGAAUUUAUUGACAUAAAAACCAAAUAUCUUUUAUCCUCCUAUUCUUACACAGGUUUGACAAGAUUGUGAAAACAAACAAACAAACAACCACAUAGAAAUCUACAAACACCAGAAACGAUGGCAGCCUUGGCUGGUUUGAGAAAUUUACAAAAGGAUCUGUCUGAUUAAGAGCGUACUGCAUGACAAUGAAAAAUAAUACCAGGAAUCUACAAGCAUGGAGUUCACUAAACAGACACUGUUCAAGUCUCUCAUUUUAUGUUAAAAAAGCAAUCCUAUGCAGGGGGUCAACUCUGUGGUCAAUACUAGUGGUCAUAAGCAAAAAGAGUGCAUAGUUUAAAUUGAGCAUCAGAACAUGGCAAAAGGAGCACAACAAGCAGUAUUUGGUGUUACAUACGUAUUUGCGUCGCUAAUUUGGUGACAUUUAUUGAUUCAUUAAUAAGUACAGAUUCUUUUUUUUCCAAGUAGUUUUUACAUACAAAAAUAGAUUUUAAAAUAUACACGAAACACUUUGGUUGGAAGGGUUUGGGGAAAAUCAAUUUGGCACGUCCACUCCUUGUUGUGGCACCGAUGACGGGCACAUACCAGCCAGCGACAAGCCCAGAAUGCAGCAUCUUGAAACAGCCAUAAUCAAAACCAACAUCAUCAUUUGCCAUUCGCCAAAUACGGGUCACCGAAGCAGGUACACUCUGGACAAGUUGCACUGGCCAGUAUGUAGAUAGGCAGGCAAGUGGCAUGCACACACCACAGCAAUGCAGCUCAACAAUAGUGAAAGGGCAGUCAUCUACAAUUUCAAUCAGACAGUACAAAAUAGAAAAUAUUACAUAGCACCACAGAAGAGAGAAAAUAGCACCUGUGUGGUCUGUGUUUUAGUGAACUGUGACCUCAUCUGCCUAGUCCGACAUUUAUUAACUUAAACUCCCAUUGGAACAGGGAUAAUACUCAGGGACGAAAAGAAGGAAUGUAUUUUUUUCUUUGGAAAUCAAUUGUCACAUACUGUCACAGAACUUGAAUGUGUUUUAUUUGUAUUCUGUUCUUAAAUUACAACAAGCCGUUCUCCACACCUGCAACAAGAGAGGACUUCCUCAUUUUUGUUUCGUUCUAAUUAACAAUUGAAGUAUUUCAUAUUUCUAAAAUUGAAUGCUACUUUCCCAGUUGAUUCCUUACCUUCCAAAGAUAAAGUCACAUGCAUGUUUUGAAGCCAGAAACAACACACUUAACCAGGAAAAAUAUACAGAAUGUACUUACAAACAUAAAAUUAUUUAUAUAUAUUUAUAUAUAAGGUCCAUUUCAAGAUAAUUGGAAGAUCAUUAUGCACAAACAAAGCUCCCGUGGAGAAUGAGCGAACACCAAAACGUGUAGAAGCCAUGUGAAGAGACGCAGGUCUGAUGUAAAGAGUGAUAUCAGGUGAGAUAUCAGUGAUAUUAAGUCCACAGUAAACAGUGCGGCCAUCAGACAGCAGCAGCUCACAGUGCUGCCUUCCUGGACAGAGAGUUGAAAUGAGAGGGACAUGACCUGACAUCCAGUUUCAAAACUUGCAUGUGAUGGAGAAGGCACACUGAGGUUUCAAGGUUGCUCUUUUUCACUUUCCUCUAUUCUUUUAAAAUAUCACCUUUGUCUCAUUGAUUUCAUUGUACUCAUACUUGUUGUUUUAAGGAGAAGGUACUUUUUUACAAAUAGAAUUGUCCUAGUUUUAAAUUGUUUUUCUGAGAAAACAAAUAUGCUUUUUUCCUCCAUUCACACAGUAAACAGUCUUAGCCGAUGAAACAGGCUGGGCCCACUUCAAAACCGAACUUCUGCGUGGAGCCGCCAAAGUCAUUAAACAUGAUAUCCACAAAAGGCACUUGUUCCACCUUUGGUGUGUUGAUCUCAAGUACUGUUUUUUCAUAACCCUUUUUCAAC
ensembl:lncRNA